UACAGAGGUCUCAAGCGUUGUUCGGAUUCAUUGGGCGUAAAGGGCGCGUAGGCGGCGGGGUAAGUCGGGUGUGAAAUCUCAGAGCUCAACUCUGAAAUGGCACUUGAUACUGCUCUGCUAAAGGACUGGAGAGGAGAUUGGAAUUCACGGUGUAGCAGUGAAAUGCGUAGAUAUCGUGAGGAAGACCGGUGGCGAAGGCGGAUCUCUGGACAGUUCCUGACGCUGAGGCGCGAAGGCCAGGGGAGCAAACGGG
rnacentral:rRNA from 1 species